GAGCCAAGAUCUGCCAGUGCACUCCAACCUGGGCGACAUAAUGAGAGUCUGUCUCAAAAAAUAAAAAAAAAAAAAAGCAAAGAAACUGCUUUUGAAACCAGUUAUAACUUUCAAGAUGACCUAGUAAAAUUUAGGAAAUUUAUGCCCAAUUAUAAUCUAAAAGAGUAAUAUAUUUGAAAAUACAGUGUGAGCUUUUCCAUAUUUGAGCUGAUUCUGUGAUUGGAUAGACUGUGUGUAGCUGCUAAAAUAAAUCAUGGAAGGUUGUGAGUGAGAAAGAUAAGAAUGUGUUUUACCAAGAAAGUAAGUUUUGUCACCAGCAAGCAGGAAAAAAAAAAAAAGAACCCGUAAAAACUGUAAAUGCAACCUACUUUCCAUGCUGAGAGAAAAACCUGAAACCCAGGCCUAAGAACUGGUAAGAUGGUAUGGGGCAGACCUGUGGCCCCAUAGUUCAAAGUCAGUCACAACUCUGCUUGGGCUUCAGAAUGAAAACACUCAGUAGUGAUAGUAUUCUUAUCUGUCCUAGUGUUUAGGGCAGGUGUCCCCAAACCAUGUC